AGAAUCCAAAGAAGAACGAGGAAAAGAAAAAGUUGCAGAAUAGUCCCGAAAUUUCAAUAUCUUCUACAAAUUAGCCGGAUUGACUUGAAGUGAAGUGGGUAGAUCGGAUCAACACAACAAAGCACACUAUCCAGAUCAAUUCCGGUAGCUUUUGUUUUAUGUUUGAAGAUUUAUAUGGCAUGUAUAGAGUUUAAAUGAAAUGAAGUAAAGAUGUUAUAAACUAGUUAACAACAUUUUGUACUAAAACAGUUUUUGGUUAGUAGCGGUAGUUUGAGUUUGAAAAUUUACUAUAAAUCAUGAAAA